GCUGAGCGCGCACUGGGCUCAGCUUUGGUCUGAUAAGUUUAUCAAGCACUGCCGGCUGCUAACUGUCAGUCGGCAAAGCGAGCCUGUUAGGGAGGAGGAACAACUCCCAGGGCAAGAUAGGACAGCCCGUGCCUUAUCGGAGUGCCUGAGCCAAAGAGGGAACUGGAGAGUGAGCACUUUCCAACCACUUCAUCUGAACAACAGACAGAUUGGCAGGAAAGGCCUGUCAGCCCUUCGCUCUGCCACCCAGGCACCAACAGAGAGCCCCCAUCCAUGCAAACCACCCUGGUCACUGCUCAUUUAGACCCUAUGGACAGCUGUCAUCCUGCAUCCCGCCCACCUUUGGGUCUUCGGCUGUGUUCAAGCUGCAUAUAUCAGGGGAUUUUACUGAGAGCUGAACCCAGUGCAAGCCCUGACCCUGUGCUGGGAGGACGUGUUCACACUUGGCUGCCUGGGCACAAGUGCUGUCCCAAGUCCUUCACGGGAUAUGAGGCAGGAAACGUCCUGCAGCAGCGAAGUCAGCCGGGUUAGCUCCAAUGUGAGCUAGUCACUCAAAGGCUUCCUUUCUGGUAAGUAACAUAUCUAGGGAGUUAUUCAGCUCCUGUUAAAGCACAUAUCUAAAAUACGACAGAAGUCAUGCCUUCAACACACCUACUUCUCUCACUGAGGAGAAAGGGAGACAUCUCUAGUAUCUGUAGACAUCUAGAGUUACAUGAGAUGAGUCACACCCCUGUGGUUUCUGCACCACUCUCAGGCCAAGUUUCUCACAGCUGUUUCUGCUCCAACCCAUAAUCUACUCCUCUCCAGACUAUGAGCAACCUCUAAGCCGUUUAAUUCCUCUGUGCAUCAAGAGUUCCUAAGCAAGUUCCAAGUACAACAGCCACAUUUAGCACUGGCAACACAACUCUAAAGUUCAGGGCUUCCUCAUGAAGAAUGAGUUUAAAAACUCUACCCCAUUGAUUCUGCCUUCCUCUUGAAUAAUUUUAAGGCAAUGGGACUUUAUCUUACAUCCCAGGCCCUUCUAUAUCAGAAGCUUUGGUGGGAUUUUUGGCAGUGGUCAAAUCCGCUGGUUUCUUCUCUUUAUAAAAUAGAAGUUAUCUCUUGUCUCAGUUGGGGAAGGGGAAGUCAGAGAUGAUGGAGCAUUCCUGUUCUUGAAAGGGCCCCAUCCUGAGAGUGUGGACAUGGUGAACCAGUGUGUCACUCAGACACCCCUGCCCCAGCUCCUUAUUUAGACCCAGCUUGUAGUAGAUUGACUGUAAAUCAAUCAGGCUCAGUGGACACCACCUAGAAAAGACAGUCCAGGAACCACAGCUACAUUUUCUGACAUUGGAGCAUCAUGGAGAAUGCUCAAUGUAAGACUCAGAGAAGGAUUGUAUUCCUGGUUUUGUCAUUGCCAGCUGACCCAAGCCAGUCAUUAUCCCUCUCUCUGUCUCAGCUUUCCCAUCUGCAAAGCAGGGAUAACACGGACAUGUUCUGAGAUCUACAGUUAAGAGCGAGGUAGAGUUGCUGCACAUGCACUGUCCCCUUAGAGUAGAACAGCACCUAUCAUUGUAAAAAAAUCCCAUAGAAAAUGCAUAAAGCUUCAAAGCAAAGUCUCUGCAUUGUGACAUGCUAACUUGAUAUGCAUUUUUCACUUUAAAAAUAUUUGCCCAAAUUUGAGUAGGACAACUAGAAAUGGAACUUAGGUCACCUGGACUUUCAGUCUUGUUUCUUAACCAACUUUCUAUCUUACUUCAUUGAAGUAUAACUUAAGUAGAACAUCCCAAGUUAAAACUGUUUUUAGGAAAAGUUUACUAUUAGUUACUUACUAUUAGUGAGAUUUUAUUUCUGAGUACUGGAAGAUACUAAUAAAAAUAUGCACAAAACUAAUUUUCUAGGGCUU
rnacentral:lncRNA from 1 species